UUUUCUCGAGCAGUGAAUGUAUUAUUUCACAGUCGGCAAACUUUUUGCUAAGGUAAAUUGCAUGCUCUUUUCGACAUGACUCGUCAUACUGACCCCAUACACCUCGUAGACUCCUCGAAGGCCGUCAAGUACAGAAUUAACAAUUGCUCCUUCCACAUGAGGCAUCAGAAUCAGAGGUUCCUGCAACUCAUUCUUUUAUUUCUCAAUGCCCCUUGG
rnacentral:lncRNA from 1 species